GAUGAACGCUAGCGGGAGGCCUAACACAUGCAAGCCGAGCGGUAUUGUUUCUUCGGAAAUGAGAGAGCGGCGUACGGGUGCGUAACACGUGUGCAACCUGCCUUUAUCUGGGGGAUAGCCUUUCGAAAGGAAGAUUAAUACUCCUUAAUAUUUUGAACGGCAUCGUUUAAUAUUAAAAGCUCCGGCGGAUAUAGAUGGGCCCGCUCAAGAUUAGCUCGUUGGUGAGGUAACGGCUCACCAAGGCGAUGAUCUUUAGGGGGCCUGAGAGGGUGAUCCCCCACACUGGUACUGAGACACGGACCAGACUCCUACGGGAGGCAGCAGUGAGGAAUAUUGGUCAAUGGGUGCAAGCCUGAACCAGCCAUCCCGGGUGAAGGACGACUGCCCUAUGGGUUGUAAACUUCUUUUGUAUAGGGAUAAACCUACCCUCGAGGGGGUAGCUGAAGGUACUAUACGAAUAAGCACCGGCUAACUCCGUG
rnacentral:rRNA from 1 species